AGAGUUUGAUCAUGGCUCAGAACGAACGCUGGCGGCAGGCCUAACACAUGCAAGUCGAACGCUCCGCAAGGGGAGUGGCAGACGGGUGAGUAACACGUGGGAAUCUUCCUAUUGGUAUGGAAUAGCUCAGGGAAACUUGGGGUAAUACCGUAUAAGCCCGAGAGGGGAAAGAUUUAUCGCCAAUAGAUGAGCCCGCGUCUGAUUAGCUAGUUGGUGAGGUAAUGGCUCACCAAGGCGACGAUCAGUAGCUGGUCUGAGAGGAUGAUCAGCCACACUGGGACUGAGACACGGCCCAGACUCCUACGGGAGGCAGCAGUGGGGAAUAUUGGACAAUGGGCGCAAGCCUGAUCCAGCCAUGCCGCGUGGAUGACUGAAGGCCCUAGGGUUGUAAAGUCCUUUCGACGGGGACGAUAAUGACGGUACCCGUAGAAGAAGCCCCGGCUAACUUCGUGCCAGCAGCCGCGGUAAUACGAAGGGGGCUAGCGUUGUUCGGAUUUACUGGGCGUAAAGGGCGCGUAGGCGGAUUUUUAAGUCGGGGGUGAAAUCCCGGAGCUCAACUCCGGAACUGCCUUCGAUACUGAAAGUCUGGAGCACGGUAGAGGUGAGUGGAAUUCCGAGUGUAGAGGUGAAAUUCGUAGAUAUUCGGAGGAACACCAGUGGCGAAGGCGGCUCACUGGACCGUUGCUGACGCUGAAGCGCGAAAGCGUGGGGAGCAAACAGGAUUAGAUACCCCGGUAGUCC
rnacentral:rRNA from 1 species